AAACUCAAAAGGAGCGUAAGUUAAUGGAGGAAGGAAUUCGAGCGACUAAUAGGAGAGAGAAAGAGAUGAUUGAAUGACGAAGGGACAAUGACCGAGAGCUACUCCGGUACUUGGGAAAGACGAAGCGACGCAAGGAGAUUGUUUUAGUGAGUAUUCCUUCUCCCCUUUAAAUUGAAACUGAAACCCUUAAUUCUUAGAUUCAGUUCAAAUGGUUCUGGAGCAUAAAUUGAUUUAUUGGCGCCUGAUAUAGAAACUGAACAACAUAAGGUAAAAGACAUAAUACAACAUAACAAGGGCAAGUAGCACAAAGUGUGAGAUGAGUUAUUUGGUUAAGUCAAUGAGAAUUAUAAUUCUCCUGAUCAGCAGAAGGGCAAAAAUAUUUUGAUCAAAUGCCAAAAAAAUAAAAUUUACAUAGCCAUUAUAAUUAAACCAGUAUCUGAUAUUACUUCCUCUUGACUAUUAUCAGAUGACAUGCGAUACCACUGAAUUGAGCAUUUAGAAAGCUGGGCACCAUUGUCCAAGCAAGGAAGGAUCCUAGUGCUUCAGAACCAUCAAAAGCAUAUAACCUGGAUUUAUCUUCUUCAGCUCUAUUGCUUUUUGCCAGGUGGAAAGAAUUAGAACAUGGAAUGGCAUAAGAAAGUAAUUAAUUGAACAGGGAAAUAAGAUGAGAGAGCAUACCCGAUUGGAACAAUGGUAGCUGAGGAUUAGAACCACUUUAUACAAUACUUCACCUAAUUAUUACUACACUAAAUAUCUGUAGCCAUUCCUUCAAACAGGGAAGGUUUUUACAAUGCACCCUGAACAGUUCCUUACUGCAAAUUUUGAUAGCCAUUCUUUAUUUAUCGUGUAUUCUCUUGAUUCUUUGUGAUAUAUAUAUCCUUGAGUGUAUAUUUCUCUUGCAUUCAUGUGGGUACUGAAAAAAAUGAAACCAAGAGAGAAUUAGAUUUUACUUGAAUAUGAUUUUCUUCUCUAGGCUCGUACUUUAUAUGGAAGGUGUCUACAUGGUUUAUUCAAAAAAAA
rnacentral:lncRNA from 1 species